rnacentral:rRNA from 1 species
UACGGGGGGUGCAAGCGUUGUUCGGAAUUAUUGGGCGUAAAGCGCGUGUAGGCGGUCCGGUAAGUCCGCUGUGAAAGUCGGGGGCUCAACCCUCGAAUGCCGGUGGAAACUGUCGGGCUAGAGUCCGGAAGAGGCGAGUGGAAUUCCUGGUGUAGCGGUGAAAUGCGCAGAUAUCAGGAGGAACACCGAUGGCGAAGGCAGCUCGCUGGGACGGUACUGACGCUGAGGCGCGAAAGCGUGGGGAGCGAACAGG